rnacentral:rRNA from 1 species
GUCUAUGGCCAUGCCACUCUGAACAAGCCCGAUCCUGUCUGAUCUCGGAAGCUUAAGCAGGGUCAGGCCUGGCUAGUACUUGGAUGGAAGACCACUUAGGAAGACCAGGUACUGUAGGUG